UCUUGGAUGAGUCGUCUAAUCAAGAUGAGUAUGACAAAGGUUCGACAUCAUCGUCAUUUUCUUUAGUGGCUCCUAGUUCAUCCUGUGCCACACCCAUAAAUAAGACCCGAAGUAGUACUGCGAGUGGUACCUUGAAAACAUUUUUUGACACCGUCAAUACUAAAGAGAAGGAAGAUUUGGAUGGAUUAUUGGCAAAGGCCAUAUACGCCAGUGGUACACCGCUUUCUAUUACGGAAAAUCAACACUGGUGUAACUUUUUCGCAAAAAUUCGCCCUAGUUACAACUUACCAUCAAGGCACAUGCUUUCAAACAAAUUAUUAAAUGAACAAUAUAAAUUGGCUCAAAAUAAUACAAAAGAAGAAAUAUAACAGCCAAGACUAUUGGAAUUCAGUGCGACAGUUGGUCAAAUACAAAGAAUAAUCCAAUUAUAAAAGUUAUUACAACGCCACGACCCAUGCUCUACAAAACCUUUUCAUCGGAAACUGAAAAGCAAACAGCAGAUUAUAUAGCAGCAUAUAAGUCAACUAAUAGAAAUAAUAACGGAAAUAGGACAAUCAAAAGUUUUAGGUCUUGUUACAGACAAUGCAGCUGCAGAGUCAAGGCAAGGAAAAUUGUUGCUGAAAAGACUGGCAUCAUCCAGUAUGGUUGUGUUGCCCAUUCUUUAAAUUUGUUGAUUAUGAAAUGAUGAUGUUGAAUAUAAGGAGGUAUUAUGAAAUCUGAAUCUCUGAAAAAUUUUAAAAAUCAAUGCAAAACAAAUUGUUAAAGAAGUAACAAAUUAACAUGUUGUACUUGCUACGUUUAAUGAAUUACAAGUAGAGAAAACUGGUAAGGCAGUAGCUUUAAAAUUACCUGUGGUAACUCGGUGGGGAUCUAUCUUAAAGUGUAUGGAAGCCUAUGGAGCACGAGACAAAUAUUAGAAAUGCCAUUUCGGAAGACAUCAGUGACAAAUUAAGCACAGCAGUGAAAAAAAAAUGUCUCGAUGAUGACAUAUAUUGGAUCAAGGUUGAGAAGGUAAUGAGAGUUUUGUCACCUAUUGUUAAAUGGAUAACAAGGCUGGAAGGAGAUAACCUGCAAAUGUCUGAUGUCACAGAAGCCUUUUAUGAACUCCAUGAUGUGUUUCUAAAAGAGCUACCAGUCACCAAAAAAGAGGAAGAAACACUAAUCAGAAACCUAAGUGAUCGAAAGAGCAAAGUCGUUUGCGGAGUGCAUUUAGCUGCUAAUAUUUUAAACCCGAAAUAUCAAGGAAUACAUUUGUCACCUGAGGAACACUCCGAUGGUAAGACAUUUGCAACUACUAACACGGAUGUAUUUUUAUUUUAGGGAUACAAUUUAUUAAUACACUGGCUGCCACUAAUGAAAAUUUUCAUCUUCAAGAAAGUGCAAUCGCCGUUGAAUUAGCUCAAUACAUAGCACAUACCGAAACAUUGGCGAAGCCCUAUUUAUGGGGCAUUGUUGGCAAAAUAGAUCCUGUAACGUCGUGGCAGGGUUAUUGCUCGAAAACAGCUAUCAAGGAUUUAGCAGUAAGCUUUUUGACGCUUCCGCCUUCUUCAGCCGCGACUGAGCGAACAUUUAGUAGGUAUUCGUUAGUCCAUACUAAACGUCGAAAUCGUUUGACGGUGAAGAGAACGGGAAUGCUAACCCAUAUUGCCUGUAACCUUAAUCUGAUGGCCAAAGAGUCCCAAAGACAAGGUGAAUCAACGUCAAUGGAGGUAAACCAACCUCAAUCUUUAGAUCCUUCCACGUCUAUACAGACAGCUCCUCCUCUGGGUGAUCAGGUCCAUGAUUUAUUAUUAACAUUAGAAUCUAAGAAUUCAGAGACUGAUGAAUCCGAUGACGAAGAGAGCGGGGCCUACUGUGUUCACGAUUUUGAUUCCAAUAGAAGCAUUGGGCCAGACAAUUUCGAUGGGCUUGACUACUCUUGAUCUUGAUCCACAAUUAAUUAGAGUACCUGAGUUAGGUUAAAACUGUAUUUUUGG